rnacentral:sRNA from 1 species
UGAUAUAUUUGCUGUAAUCGAGCGUAGC